rnacentral:rRNA from 1 species
AUCAUUAUNGAAUUAAACCUGAUAAGUUGCUGCUGGUUCUCUAGGGAACACUGUGCACGCUUGUCAUCUUUAUAUCUCCACCUGUGCACCUUUUGUAGACCUGGAUGUCUYUCCGAGUAGUGCUUUUUUUUGCMCCUUGGGUUUUGAGGAUUGACUUUAUUGUYUCUMCCUUMCAUUUYUAGGUYUAUGUUUUUUAUCAUAUACCCCAAUUUAUGUUAUAGAAUGUAAUACAUGGGACUUUGUGCCUAUAAACUUUAUACAACUUUCAGCAACGGAUCUCUUGGCUCUCGCAUCSAUGAAGAACGCAGCGAAAUGCGAUAAGUAAUGUGAAUUGCAGAAUUCAGUGAAUCAUCGAAUCUUUGAACGCACCUUGCGCUCCUUGGUAUUCCGAGGAGCAUGCCUGUUUGAGUGUCAUUAAUAUAUCAACCUCUUCAAGCUUUUGCUUGUCUGAGUGUUGGAUGUGGGGGUAUUCUUUGUUGGCUUUUCUAUGAAGUCAGCUCCCCUCAAAUGUAUUAGCAGAAUAAUUUGUUGAUCCUGUUCAUUGGUGUGAUAAUUAUCUACGCUAUUGACGGGGAAAGCAGUUCAGCUUCUAAUAGUCCAUUGACUUGGACAAAUUUUUCAUUAAUGUGACCUCAAAUCANGUAGGACUACCCGCUGAACUUAAGCAUAUCAAUAAGCGGANGAAAAGA